GCUGGGUGUGGUGGCACACACCUGUAGUCCCAGCUACAUGGGAGGCUGAGGCAGGAGAAUCGUUUGAACCCAGGAGGUGGAGGUUGCAGUGAGCCGAGAUUAUGCCACUGCACUCCAGCCUGGGUGAAAGAGUGAGACUCUGUCUCAA
rnacentral:SRP_RNA from 1 species